rnacentral:rRNA from 1 species
AUUCCGGUUGAUCCUGCCGGAGGCCAUUGCUAUCGGAGUCCGAUUUAGCCAUGCUAGUCGCACGAGUUUAGACUCGUGGCAUAUAGCUCAGUAACACGUGGCCAAACUACCCUACAGACCGCGAUAACCUCGGGAAACUGAGGCCAAUAGCGGAUAUAACUCUCAGGCUGGAGUGCCGAGAGUUAGAAACGUUCCGGCGCUGUAGGAUGUGGCUGCGGCCGAUUAGGUAGAUGGUGGGGUAACGGCCCACCAUGCCGAUAAUCGGUACAGGUUGUGAGAGCAAGAGCCUGGAGACGGUAUCUGAGACAAGAUACCGGGCCCUACGGGGCGCAGCAGGCGCGAAACCUUUACACUGCACGACAGUGCGAUAGGGGGACUCCGAGUGUGAGGGCAUAUAGCCCUCGCUUUUCUGUACCGUAAGGUGGUACAGGAACAAGGACUGGGCAAGACCGGUGCCAGCCGCCGCGGUAAUACCGGCAGUCCAAGUGAUGGCCGAUAUUAUUGGGCCUAAAGCGUCCGUAGCUUGCUGUGUAAGUCCAUUGGGAAAUCGACCAGCUCAACUGGUCGGCGUCCGGUGGAAACUACACAGCUUGGGGCCGAGAGACUCAACGGGUACGUCCGGGGUAGGAGUGAAAUCCUGUAAUCCUGGACGGACCACCAAUGGGGAAACCAACGUUGAGAGACCGGACCCGACAGUGAGGACGAAAGCCAGGGUCUCGAACCGGAUUAGAUACCCGGGUAGUCCUGAGCUGUAAACAAUGCUCGCUAGGAUGUCACGCGCCAUGAGCACGUGAUGUGCCGUAGAUGAAGACGAUAAGCGAGCCGCCUGGGAAGUACGUCGCAAGGAUGAAACUUAAAGGAAUUGGCGGGGGAGCACCACAACCGGAGGAGCCUGCGGUUUAAUUGGACUCAACGCCGGACAUCUCACCGGUCCCGACAGUAGUAAUGACAGUCAGGUUGACGACUUUACUCGACGCUACUGAGAGGAGGUGCAUGGCCGCCGUCAGCUCGUACCGUGAGGCGUC